rnacentral:rRNA from 1 species
GUGUCAGCCGCCGCGGUAAUACGGAGGGUGCAAGCGUUAUCCGGAUUUAUUGGGUUUAAAGGGUCCGUAGGCGGACUUAUAAGUCAGUGGUGAAAGCCUGUCGCUUAACGAUAGAACUGCCAUUGAUACUGUAAGUCUUGAGUAUAUUUGAGGUAGCUGGAAUAAGUAGUGUAGCGGUGAAAUGCAUAGAUAUUACUUAGAACACCAAUUGCGAAGGCAGGUUACCAAGAUAUAACUGACGCUGAGGGACGAAAGCGUGGGGAGCGAACAGGAUUAGAUACCCUGGUAGUCCACGCCGUAAACGAUGCUAACUCGUUUUUGGAGCGCAAGCUUCAGAGACCAAGCGAAAGUGAUAAGUUAGCCACCUGGGGAGUACGCUCGCAAGAGUGAA